rnacentral:rRNA from 1 species
AUAGGGGAGCCGGAGGGAAACCGAGUCUUAAUUGGGCGUUAAGUUGCAGGGUAUAGACCCGAAACCCGGUGAUCUAGCCAUGGGCAGGUUGAAGGUUGGGUAACACUAACUGGAGGACCGAACCGACUAAUGUUGAAAAAUUAGCGGAUGACCUGUGGCUGGGGGUGAAAGGCCAAUCAAACCGGGAGAUAGCUGGUUCUCCCCGAAAGCUAUUUAGGUAGCGCCUCGUGAAUUCAUCUCCGGGGGUAGAGCACUGUUUCGGCUAGGGGGCCAUCCCGGCUUACCAACCCGAUGCAAACUGCGAAUACCGGAGAAUGUUAUCACGGGAGACACACGGCGGGUGCUAACGUCCGUCGUGAAGAGGGAAACAACCCAGACCGCCAGCUAAGGUCCCAAAGUCAUGGUUAAGUGGGAAACGAUGUGGGAAGGCCCAGACAGCCAGGAUGUUGGCUUAGAAGCAGCCAUCAUUUAAAGAAAGCGUAAUAGCUCACUGGUCGAGUCGGCCUGCGCGGAAGAUGUAACGGGGCUAAACCAUGCACCGAAGCUGCGGCAGCGACACUGUGUGUUGUUGGGUAGGGGAGCGUUCUGUAAGCCUGUGAAGGUGUGUCGUGAGGC